ACAACGAAGAGUUUGAUCCUGGCUCAGGAUGAACGCUAGCGACAGGCUUAACACAUGCAAGUCGAGGGGCAGCGGGGGAGGAGCAAUCCUCCCGCCGGCGACCGGCGCACGGGUGAGUAACACGUAUGUAACCUGCCCGUAGCAGGGGGAUAAGCGGAAGAAAUUCCGUCUAAUACCGCGUAACAUCCUCCGGAGGCAUCUCCGGGGGAUUAAAGGAAGCGAUUCCGGCUACGGAUGGACAUGCGUCGCAUUAGCUAGUUGGCGGGGUAACGGCCCACCAAGGCGACGAUGCGUAGGGGUUCUGAGAGGAAGGUCCCCCACACUGGUACUGAGACACGGACCAGACUCCUACGGGAGGCAGCAGUGAGGAAUAUUGGUCAAUGGCCGAGAGGCUGAACCAGCCAAGUCGCGUGAGGGAAGACGGCCCUAUGGGUUGUAAACCUCUUUUGUCGGGGAGCAAAGAGCCCGACGUGUCCGGCCUCGAGAGUACCCGAAGAAAAAGCAUCGGCUAACUCCGUGCCAGCAGCCGCGGUAAUACGGAGGAUGCGAGCGUUAUCCGGAUUUAUUGGGUUUAAAGGGUGCGCAGGCGGGAUGUCAAGUCAGCGGUAAAAUUUCGGGGCUCAACCCCGUCGUGCCGUUGAAACUGGCGUCCUAGAGUGGGCGAGAAGUAUGCGGAAUGCGUGGUGUAGCGGUGAAAUGCAUAGAUAUCACGCAGAACUCCGAUUGCGAAGGCAGCAUACCGGCGCCCGACUGACGCUCAUGCACGAAAGCGUGGGUAUCGAACAGGAUUAGAUACCCUGGUAGUCCACGCAGUAAACGAUGAAUA
rnacentral:rRNA from 1 species